UUAGUACCUGUUCUUCAAACAGAGCCUCGAUGACACAAGUUACAUUCAAAGAGUGCACCUCGGGGAAAAAGUUCUUACUUCAGUGGUCUAUUUAUUGGAUAAUAAUCCUUCACACACCACAGGUAAAAUACAAAUUACAAAACAAGUUCAUUCAAUUGCCAUAUAUUUCUAUGGAAAACAGUGUUUUGCCUAACAAAGCUUCUACUGUAACAAUCUUAAAUUGGUUAUAACAGAAAAUAUUUUAAUAAUAAUACAUUAGUACCUGCUCUUCAAACAGAGCCUCGAUGACACAAGUUACAUUCAAAGAGUGCACCUCGGGGAAAAAGUUCUUACUUCAGUGAUCUAUUUAUUGGAUAAUAAUCCUUCACACACCACAGGUUUUGAAAAAGUUUGAUAGAGAUUUAUCA